ACCAACCGGAUUGCCUUAGUAACGGCGAGUGAAGCGGCAAAAGCUCAAAUUUGAAAUCUGGUACCUUCGGUGCCCGAGUUGUAAUUUGGAGAGGGCAACUUUGGGGCCGUUCCUUGUCUAUGUUCCUUGGAACAGGACGUCAUAGAGGGUGAGAAUCCCGUGUGGCGAGGAGUGCGGUUCUUUGUAAAGUGCCUUCGAAGAGUCGAGUUGUUUGGGAAUGCAGCUCUAAGUGGGUGGUAAAUUCCAUCUAAAGCUAAAUAUUGGCGAGAGACCGAUAGCGAACAAGUACAGUGAUGGAAAGAUGAAAAGAACUUUGAAAAGAGAGUGAAAAAGUACGUGAAAUUGUUGAAAGGGAAGGGCAUUUGAUCAGACAUGGUGUUUUGUGCCCUCUGCUCCUUGUGGGUAGGGGAAUCUCGCAUUUCACUGGGCCAGCAUCAGUUUUGGUGGCAGGAUAAAUCCAUAGGAAUGUAGCUUGCCUCGGUAAGUAUUAUAGCCUGUGGGAAUACUGCC
rnacentral:rRNA from 1 species